GCUGCGAGAUCGCGCGGCUUUCCAAGAUGGCGGCCAAGGCGAGAGCAGUGGGGGAGCGGGUAUUGUAGGGCCAUUUUCUCGCGGUGGAAGGAAGAAAAGUGGCUGUGAGGGGUGGUUUGAGCAAGGUCCAGCGAGGAUCUCUCUACGUGAUUUUGCUUGGUCGCUGCUUGGCUUAAAUCCCCCGGGCUUGGCUCCAGGGAACGGCAAUGUGAGAGGGGAAGAGCCUUCUGCGAACUGAUCUGUGGCAAAGUUUUAUUAAGUGGAGCAGUAAAAGAAAUAAACAGUCAAAAUGGGGCGGAGAUCCACAUCUUCCACCAAGAGUGGGAAGUUCAUGAACCCCACAGACCAAGCUCGCAAAGAGGCCCGAAAGAGGGAGCUGAAGAAGCUGCUCCAUCAUUGAACUG